CUUUAAGAUUUCUAAGAGGUGAAGUGUCACUGAAAGGAGAGAAGACAUCUUGUUUGGUGGAUGUGUGUCCCUAUGUUUAUCCUAAGUCACACGGCUUCACCUUUAACAUUGCUGAAGGAAAACUGAAGAAAAGAAUUGAUUACAUUUUUGGAUGGAAUCUUGAUAAUGAUUUUCAAAUCAGAGAUAUAGAGAUUGGUCAACACUCAGGAAAAGGACAAAAAGCUGCCUCUGACCACCUUCCUGUUGUAGCGACGUUUUGUUGAAUUCAUGGAUUAGUGCUUGGGAACCUACAUUGAGAAUCAAGUUUAUGGGUGUUUUUGAGGAACUGAUUUAAUUAUUACUGUUAUAAUAUUCAUGACAUUAUUUUCAAUAUUUAAACUUUGUAUUCACAUUUUAAUGUUUCGUACUAGUCAUGUUGGAAUAGCAAUUUCAAUUUUUCAUUUUAAAAAAUGAUUUUUAAAGACUCUAUGUGCAAUAAAUUAUGUUUAUUUAGUGAUA